GUCUACGGCCAUACCACCCUGAACGUGCCCAAUCUCGUCUGAUCUUGGAAGCUCAGCAGGGUCGGGCCUGGUUAGUACUCGGAUGGGAGACGUAUGAU
rnacentral:rRNA from 1 species